UUUAACACCAUAAUCUUAUUGUUCGUCCCUGCUCUGGCCUGAAGGAAACACCUGAUGUGUCCAUUCAUUGUUCUCAAUCAAGUUAAUCUAAGGGAUGCAUAGGCUACAUGGUCUUUUCAGAUAAUUGUUCCAUAAUUCACGACUACAACAUGACUUCUUUCUUACAAGGUUUGGAUAUACACACAGGGAUCACUUGCUUGAACUGCAAACUGAAGCUGAUUUCUCCCUUUUUAUUUUCUGUAGCACAAAUGUUUUACUUUUGCAAUCAUAUUACAAUGUGACAUUAUUUGUAAUCUGUGUAUACACGGUUCACGUCUUCGAUGUUUUGUUGGCCUUCGAGUACUAAUUUAUCCCGAUCUUGGGAGGCUAAAUAUGAUGCCUAAUUAUCAUAGUUACUAAAUGGAAUUUGGUUUAUUAUUUUUUAUGAUUUUUUCAUAUCGGUCUGGCCCAUAAUAUCAGAUGCAAAGUGGGCUGAGGACAAAUGGGCAAAGUGAGUUCCGAUCAGCUAUUGAGGACUCGUAAUCAGAAAAAGAAUCAACAGAGAAACUUGGACAACCAAAACAACUAGAGAAAGCUUCUAUGCCUUGAUAUUGAUGGCCGACACCAACAAGAAUGACAAGUUGCAAAGAUGCUUAUUUGUGAUGGUGUAGCUGAUGGGCGAUGGAGCAACCAGCGAACUCAUUUUUAGAUCGAUUUAUUAUAUGCUAAACAAUGUUGUGAACUUAGUUAAAUAUGGUGUCUUUAUUUUGUUAGCUAUGGUCAUGUUCUUUUAACCAGAAUUCUGGUCAUGUUACUUUGGUUUGAGACAAUUUAAAUUAAUGAAUG